rnacentral:rRNA from 1 species
GACGAACCGUGCGAACGUUAUUCGGAAUCACUGGGCUUAAAGCGCGUGUAGGCGGGUCGGUGCGUCGGCCGCUGAAAUCCCCCGGCUCAACCGGGGAAGGGGCGCCGAUACGACCGGCCUGGAGCGACGUAGGGGGAACUGGAACUUCCGGUGGAGCGGUGAAAUGCGUUGAGAUCGGAAGGAACGCCCGUGGCGAAAGCGAGUUCCUGGACGUCGGCUGACGCUGAGACGCGAAAGCCAGGGGAGCGAACGGGAUUAGAUACCCCAGUAGUCC